rnacentral:lncRNA from 1 species
GGGCUGGACCUCUCGAGCCAGGCUCUGGGUGCUGCUCGCUGGGCUGGCCCUGAUUGACAAAGCAGCUCUGUCUGCAAGCAGCCGGGGCAGCCAGACCUGUUUGCAGAAGGGCUCUGGCCCAGCAGGUCUCGUGGGCCCCCCUCCCUUCCAUAAGGAGCAGAGGAGCAGCCUCAGCUCGGCCAGCCAGGUUAAGACAUUCAGAGAUCUCCAGGAAUGCAGCCCUGAAGAACCUGUCCCGGCAGCUACGUUAGCAAAGAGUUACUGACCACGCUUGCACUGUCCUCUGCACACUGGAUCACGGUGAAGGAGACAGCCAUGCUCAGUCCAGUACGUCUCUUUCAAAUAAGAAAGGAGAACAGUGAGACGCAGGCAUUGGUGGAGGAAAGUGAAGACGAUCUGCAAAGAGAUAUUCAGAUAGGCAGGCAUCAGCUCCCGGGCACCAGGCAGCGCGGCAACUGGAAGGUUUCCCGCAAGACCCACAGGGACCCCGGAUACAAGGCACAACCGGACAUUGAAAAAGCAGGGACACCCUCAACCCCUUCACAGGAGGACGAGAGUUUCCCAGACGCGAUACAGAAUGGGGGGCUCAGUGGGACGCUGAAUCCUCCGUUCGGCACUGGAGCCAGGUUAGACCCUAUCUCAGCUGGAACAGGAGAAAGAGACAAUGAAAGAGCAGCACCGGGGAUAUCUGAGAAGACGACACGAGAGAGCUCCACCGUGAGCUCCAGUGCGAAUCUCUGUCACGUCGGUCGGAAGGAGAAGGACCAACCAGAAGCCCUGGUGAACCCCUAUGGCUCAGAGAAUGGUGGUAUUAGUGGGAUGUUGUGGAACCCUUUUCGCUCUGUGCCCAAGGACAGAGAUGAUAAGGAUGUGACUUCAGGGCACCUAGACAAGAGCUCUGUGAAAACAGCCAGCGAGGAAAGCAUCUUUCAUUCCAAACAGAUUGGUGUUAACAGUGGGAUACCAAUUAAUCCAUUUUACUCUUGGACCAAGGAGAAAGACAGUGAGGACUUGGCCGCAGAGUCCUGUGAGAAGAUAAAUUCUGAGAAAACGGGGAGAGAUGAGAGCCUCUUUCACUCCAAACAGAUUGGUGUUAACAGUGAGAUACUGUGGAAUCCAUUUUACUCUUGGUCCAAGGACAAUGAGGUUGUCACAUUGGAGUCCCUUGGGAAAAUGAGCUCUGGGAAAACGUCCAGUGCUGAGAAGCUCUCUCAGACCAAACAGGACGGCGAUGUCGGGGAGAUGGUGAGGAAUCCCUUUCUCUCUGCGCUCAAGGAGAUGGGCCGUGAAAGCGUGGCCCCAGAGCCCUGCGAGACGCUGAGAUCUGAGGAGCCGGCCGGCAAGGGGAAACGGGGCUCCAGUGACUGGCUCAGUGGGUUCCAGAGAGAGGUGCCGUCUAACCCGUUUUAUACAUCCCCCAAGCCCCAGGGGCAGGCUGAUCUGGAGUCAUGGAGGGAUGUCCAGGCUCGCAAGAGUCUCUCUGACUCGGCUCUGAUCGCUCCGGAACCAGCAGGGCCCUCUCUGGUCCUACCUCGCGUCCUCCCUGCACCAGUCCAGGAGCGCCGGUGGUCCAGGGUGGAGACGGAGGCCCCGCUGUAUGAGAGCAUCAUCCUCAUUGGGCAGGUCCGAGCAGGGCUUGGGUGGAGAUGGACGCGGCCGUUACUUGUGGGGUUUCUGGACUGAUAGGCUGGA